rnacentral:rRNA from 1 species
UGGCCGUAAACGAUGUGGACUUGGUGUUGGAAUGGCUCCGAGCUGCUCCAGUGCCGAAGGGAAGCUGUUAAGUCCACCGCCUGGGAAGUACGGUCGCAAGACUGAAACUUAAAGAAAUUGGCGGGGGAGCACCGCAACGGGAGGAGCGUGCGGUUUAAUUGGAUUCAACACCGGAAAACUCACCAAGGGCGACUGUUACAUGAAAGCCAGGCUAAUGACCUUGCUUGAUUUCAGAGAGGAGGUGCAUGGCGUCAGUGACU